rnacentral:rRNA from 1 species
AUUGAACGCUGGCGGCAUGCCUUACACAUGCAAGUCGAACGGUAACGCGGGGCAACCUGGCGACGAGUGGCGAACGGGUGAGUAAUGCAUCGGAACGUGCCCAGUAGUGGGGGAUAGCCCGGCGAAAGCCGGAUUAAUACCGCAUACGACCUACGGGUGAAAGCGGGGGACCGUAAGGCCUCGCGCUAUUGGAGCGGCCGAUGUCAGAUUAGGUUGUUGGGGGGGUAAAGGCCUACCAAGCCGACGAGCUGUAGCUGGUCUGAGAGGACGACCAGCCGACCUGGGACUGGGACACGGCCCAGACUCCUACGGGAGGCAGCAGUGGGGAAUUGUGGACAAGGGGGGAAACCCUGAUCCAGCCAUGCCGCGUGCGGGAAGAAGGCCUUCGGGUUGUAAACCGCUUUUGUCAGGGAAGAAACGCUCGGGGCUAAUACCCUGGGGUAAUGACGGUACCUGAAGAAUAAGCACCGGCUAACUACGUGCCAGCCGCCGCCGUAA